CAGUCGCCACGGUAAUACGAAGGGGGCUAGCGUUGCUCGGAAUCACUGGGCGUAAAGGGUGCGUAGGCGGGUCUUUAAGUCAGAGGUGAAAUCCUGGAGCUCAACUCCGGAACUGCCUUUGAUACUGAGGAUCUUGAGUUCGGGAGAGGUGAGUGGAACUGCGAGUGUAGAGGUGAAAUUCGUAGAUAUUCGCAAGAACACCAGUGGCGAAGGCGGCUCACUGGCCCGAUACUGACGCUGAGGCACGAAAGCGUGGGGAGCAAACAGGAUUAGAUACCCCGGUAGUCCCUGUCUCUUAUAC
rnacentral:rRNA from 1 species